rnacentral:rRNA from 1 species
UACGGAGGGAGCUAGCGUUGUUCGGAAUUACUGGGCGUAAAGCGCACGUAGGCGGCUUUUUAAGUCAGGGGUGAAAUCCCGGGGCUCAACUCCGGAACUGCCCUUGAAACUGGAGAGCUAGAAUCUUGGAGAGGCGAGUGGAAUUCCGAGUGUAGAGGUGAAAUUCGUAGAUAUUCGGAAGAACACCAGUGGCGAAGGCGACUCGCUGGACAAGUAUUGACGCUGAGGUGCGAAAGCGUGGGGAGCAAACAGG